UGCAAGUCUCCAGGAAAGGUUGGGGGAGGAGACCUCCACACUGUCACUGUCAGAGACUUUAAUUCUAAGACAUUGCUGUAGCCCCCUGCUGAAAAAGGUCCCUGACAAUUAAGAAGAGGCAGUGUGGACAACUUAGUAUCACCUCCGUGGUGACAAACCUGAGGACUGUUAAAAAUAGACCAUCUCUGUCUUAAAGAGCGUACUUCACAGGAUAAACUGCUUUCUACUUGCCAAAGCAUACUUUUCUUUUUCAUGGGAGAAUAUGAAUGCAGUCCCCCACUACCACAAAUUAUGCAGUCAAGUUUCCCUCAUUUGGGAAAAUUGCAGGGAUCACCCCACCUGAGUGAUCAUGGAAUCACCCCUGU